rnacentral:rRNA from 1 species
AUUGAACGCUGGCGGCAUGCCUUACACAUGCAAGUCGAACGGCAACACGGGUGCUUUCACCUGGUUGCGAGUGGCGAACGGGUGAGUAAUACAUGGGAACAUGACCGGUUGUUGGGGGUGGCCCGGCGAUAGCCGGGGUAAUACCGCACACGUACCACGGCAGAAAGCGGGGGGCCGUCGUGCGUCGCUCUUGCGGGUUGGUCGAUGGCGGAUUAGCUAGUUGGUGGGGUAAAGGCCUACCCAGGCGACGAUCAGUAGCUGGUCUGAGAGGACGACCAGCCACACUGGAACUGAGACACGGCCCAGACUCCUACGGGAGGCAGCAGUGGGGAAUAUUGGACAAUGGGCGAAAGCCUGAUCCAGCAAUGCCGCGUGUGUGAAGAAGGCCUUCGGGUUGUAAAGCACUUUUGUCCGGAAAGAAAGGCUUAGAGCUAAUACCGUCGGUGGAUGACGGUACCGGAAGAAUAAGCACCGGCUAACUACGUG